rnacentral:rRNA from 1 species
AUUGAACGCUGGCGGCAGGCCUAACACAUGCAAGUCGAGCGGAUGAAGGGAGCUUGCUCCUGGAUUCAGCGGCGGACGGGUGAGUAAUGCCUAGGAAUCUGCCUGGUAGUGGGGGAUAACGUCCGGAAACGGGCGCUAAUACCGCAUACGUCCUGAGGGAGAAAGUGGGGGAUCUUCGGACCUCACGCUAUCAGAUGAGCCUAGGUCGGAUUAGCUAGUUGGUGGGGUAAAGGCCUACCAAGGCGACGAUCCGUAACUGGUCUGAGAGGAUGAUCAGUCACACUGGAACUGAGACACGGUCCCGACUCCCACGGGAGGCAGCAGUGGGGAAUAUUGGACAAUGGGCGAAAGCCUGAUCCAGCCAUGCCGCGUGUGUGAAGAAGGUCUUCGGAUUGUAAAGCACUUUAAGUUGGGAGGAAGGGCAGUAAGUUAAUACCUUGCUGUUUUGACGUUACCAACAGAAUAAGCACCGGCUAACUUCGUG